rnacentral:rRNA from 1 species
CCUACGGGUGGCAGCAGUGAGGAAUCUUCGUCAAUGGGCGCGAGCCUGAUCCAGCCAAGUAGCGUGAAGGAUGACUGCCCUACGGGUUGUAAACUUCUUUUAUAAAGGAAUAAAGUGAGGCACGUGUGCCUUUUUGUAUGUACUUUAUGAAUAUGGAUCGGCUAACUCCGUGCCAGCAGCCGCGGUAAUACGGAGGUUCCGAGCGUUAUCCGGAUUUAUUGGGUUUAAAGGGAGCGUAGAUGGGUUGUUAAGUCAGUUGUGAAAGUUUGCGGCUCAACCGUAAAAUUGCAAUUGAUACUGGCAGCCUUGAGUACAGUUGAGGUAGGCGGAAUUCGUGGUGUAGCGGUGAAAUGCUUAGAUAUCACGAAGAACUCCGAUUGCGAAGGCAGCUUACUAAACUGCCACUGACAUUGAUGCUCGAAAGUGUGGGUAUCAAACUGGAUUAGAUACCCGGGUAGUC